UGGGGGGAGGGGGCGGGUCAGACGGCCCACCGCUCUCCUCCCGCC
rnacentral:pre_miRNA from 1 species